AACGUAGGUACCGAGCGUUAUCCGGAUUUACUGGGCGUAAAGCGCGUUCAGGCGGUCUGGCAAGUCGGGCAUGAAAUCUCUCGGCUCAACCGGGAGAGGUUGUCCGAUACUGCUGGACUUGAGGGCAGUAGAGGGUGGUGGAAUUCCGGGUGUAGUGGUGAAAUGCGUAGAUAUCCGGAGGAACACCAGUGGCGAAAGCGGCCACCUGGACUGCACCUGACGCUGACACGCGAAAGCUAGGGGAGCGAACGGG
rnacentral:rRNA from 1 species